rnacentral:lncRNA from 1 species
UAUAAACAAACUCAUAUAAAAUUUAAUACUAUUCAACCUGUUUGUAUUUUUUUCAUACAUAUAUUAAUAUAAUAUAAUAAAAGAAUCUACUAUUUUUUAUAAUUUUAUUUUAUACAGAAUUAUUUAUUCAUUUAAUUUAAUAUAUUAUUUACUAUUAUUGUACAUGUUUUAUAUAUCUAUAUUUAACUCAAACUUUAAUUUUAGAA